UACGAAGGGGGCUAGCGUUGCUCGGAAUGACUGGGCGUAAAGGGCGCGUAGGCGGUUCGUACAGUCAGACGUGAAAUUCCCGGGCUCAACCUGGGGGCUGCGUUUGGAUACGUACGGGCUUGAGUUCGGAAGAGGGUCGUGGAAUUCCCAGUGUAGAGGUGAAAUUCGUAGAUAUUGGGAAGAACACCGGUGGCGAAGGCGGCGACCUGGUCCGAUACUGACGCUGAGGCGCGAAAGCGUGGGGAGCAAACAGG
rnacentral:rRNA from 1 species